CAAGGAGCCACACAAGGGGAUAGCCAAAGCGAGAGUGGAGGCUAUGAUCAUCCUCGUCACUCUACUAUGUGGUAAUAAGUAUCAUUGAAAUGCAUCUCUGAAGGGUGGCAUUGCUUCUCAGAUAAUUGAUGACAAUGAAACUUGUGGGCAAUCAUAUUACUUUAUGUCAAGCCAUGUCCUUUUUUCUUUCUUGUCUAUUUAAAAUUUGUCUAAAUGUGUGUACCUUUAAGUUUUUUAUUUGUGUCAAUGAGACAAUUUGCUUUUGAGAUAUUAUGACAAAUAUUAUGUAGGAAUUAAUCUAACCACUAUUGUGUUUCUCUUA